UAGAAUAGGGGUGUGCAGAAAUCGAUUAAACCGACUGAAUCGACCGAAUCAAAAAUUCGAUUUGAACAGAAAAUCGAACCGAAAAACUAAAAUUUUAAAUAAUAAAAUAAAUAAAAUAUAUUUUUACAGAUAUUAAUAUUAUAUAAUUAUAUAUAUUAAUAUACAUACAAUAGGAAUUGACUGGAGCCAGAGCCACUUACGACUUACGAGAGAAGAACAGAACAGAAGAGAAGAGAAACAGAAUAGAGAAAGAAAAGAAAGAAAAGAAAGAAAGAAAGAGACUCGCCAAGACGACUGAGACCGGAAGAAGGGAAAAAAAGAAAGGACCGGCGAAUAUUGCAAAUAUGACCUCACGACAGGAUGCACCACCACCACCAGCGCCACCAUUGCCACCAGCGUCACAGAGGCAUUAUAUCAACUUCUGGGAUGUAAGGUCCAAUCGAAAUUUUCACAUGGUGAUCCAUGCUACAAUCAAAGGGCAUUAUCCACAUUCUUGUGGAACAUAUCAUAAAUCACACAGGAGCAUUAGUUAUUUUAGUUUCAAAAUUUAAAUGUCAAUAUUCAAGGUCGUCAAGUCAUAGGCCAGGAAGUUCUUGAGGAAGCGAUUCGCCGACGCUCGGAACUAAUUGAUCGGACCGUUGUGGCUGGCCGAGGAGAUUUGGCGCCAGCUUCUGGGGUAGUGGGCGAGCCUAGAAUUUCAAGCACAGUCGGUGAAGAAUAAGGUCAAACGGGCAGCCAACCCGAACGCAGCUGCUACCAUCUACCAUGGGAGGUUGUCCUCUAUUGCGGCACACAAGCGUAAGAUGGUAAGUAUUUUAACCUAUAGUAUUAAUUUAAUCUAAUUUUUUAAAAUAAUUUUUGAAUAGGAGGCACAAUUCGGACACCCCGUCAAACAGAUGGAGGUGUUCAAGGAGUGCUAUAAAAAGUAGGAGGACUACCAAUGGAGCAUCCCAAGGGCAACGGAGGUUGCAGUAAGUAUAAAAAAUAAUUUAAUUUUUAAUUCAAAGUUAGUUUUUUUAAAAUCUAAUUAUUUAAUCUGUUCGAAUGAGUUGUUUGUGAGGAUGAUAGAGGAACGCCAGAGACAACAAAACAGUGAUCAAGAUCCUCCAUUAUCCUCUCAAGGCUCGAUGGCCCCGAAUGAGCAACAAGUGUGGUUGUCAGCAGUGGGCGGUCGAAAAAGGACCGAGUAUUCGGUUUCGGCUCUGAAGUCCACCAUACGAUUGCUGGACCAUCAUCGCCCUCGCCACCGCAACUAUCGCUCCUCGACCUUGAUGAUCGGGUAACGAGGCUUGAGGAGUAGAUGCGGCGGAUAGAUCCCAUCCUGGCCCGAUCCUCCAGUGCCCUAGCCUCCUUCUAAUCCCCUAGUACCCGACGGCGAUGACAACGACAACGACGACGAACACGCAGCCGAAGGGGAUGCUCAUUUAGAUUAGGAUAAAAAUACAAUGUAAAAUAAUA